rnacentral:rRNA from 1 species
UGUGAUGCCCUUAGAUGUUCUGGGCCGCACGCGCGCUACACUGAUACGCUCACCAAGUUUUGUCCUGCACUGAGGAGUGUGGGUAAUCUUUGAAAUCGUAUCGUGAUGGGGAUUGGUCUUUGUAAUUAUCGGCCACCAACGAGGAAUUCCUAGUAAGCGUGAUUCAUCAAAUCGCGUUGAUUACGUCCCUGCCCUUUGUACACACCGCCCGUCGCUCCUACCGAUUGAAUGGUCCGGUGAAAUCAUCGGAUCGCAGCAAGGGUGGUUCUGCCAGCCUCGCAGCGAAAAGUUGAGUAAACCUUAUCAUUUAGAGGAAGGAGAAGUCGUAACAAGGUUUCCC